UACCCCAUAAUAUAUUUGAUAAGGCAUCUUAUUAAUAUUAAAGCUUCGGCACUUGAUGAUGGGUGUGCGGCUGAUUAGAUAGUUGGCGGGGUAACGGCCCACCAAGUCUACGAUCAGUAGCUGAUGUGAGAGCAUGAUCAGCCACACGGGCACUGAGACACGGCCCGACUCCGUACGGGAGGCAGCAGUAAGGAAUAUUGGACAAUGGACGAAAGUCUGAUCCAGCCAUGCCGCGUGAAGGAUUAAGGUCCUCUGGAUUGUAAACUUCUUUUAUAUGGGACGAAAAAAGGGCAUUCUUGUUCACUUGACGGUACCAUAUGAAUAAGCACCGGCUAACUCCGUG
rnacentral:rRNA from 1 species